AUGGCAAAACGAGGGCUUAACUGUCUCCUUCCCCUAGUCAAUGAAAUUGAUCUCCCCGUGCAGAAGCGGGGAUAAACACAUAAGACGAGAAGACCCUAUGGAGCUUUAGACACACAACAGACCACAUAAAAUCCCCUAGUUAAAAGGAAAAAUCACACUGGCCCCUGUCAUAUGUCUUUGGUUGGGGCGACCCCGGAGAAAUAAAAAACCCCCGAGCGGAAUGAAGGUAUCCUCUUCUUCAUAACCAAGAGCCGCAGCUCAAAAGAUCAGAAUCUCUGACCAAAAGAUCCGAUUACAAUCGAUCAACGGACCGAGUUACCCUAGGGAUAACAGCGCAAUCCCCUUUAAGAGUCCUUAUCGACAAGGGGGUUUACGACCUCGAUGUUGUAUCAGGACAUCCUAAUGGUGCAGCCGCUUUUAAGGGUUC
rnacentral:rRNA from 1 species